AAAACGACUCUCGGCAACGGAUAUCUCGGCUCUCGCAUCGAUGAAGAACGUAGCGAACUGCGAUACUUGGAGUGAAUUGCAGAAUCCCGUGAACCAUCGAGUCUUUGAACGCAAGUUGCGCCCGAAGCCAUUAGGCCGAGGGCACGUCUGCCUGGGCGUCACGC
rnacentral:rRNA from 1 species